AACAUGUGUGUAACAUGUGUGUGUGUGUAGGCGAGCGUGCCGUUUGCGGUGGUGGGCAGUAACACGGUGGUGGACGCCCUGGGGAAGAGAGUGAGGGGACGACUCUACCCCUGGGGCAUCGUGGAAGUGGAGAACUCGGUGCACUUGCGACUUCACGCGACUGCGCUCCAUGCUGGUGCAGACUCACAUGCAGGACCUGAAGGACGUGACACAGGAUACUCACUACGAGAACUUUAGAGCCAGACACAUCCACAGCAUGGCUCACCUGGCUCUGCAGUCACACCACAGGGAGGGAGACGCAGCGGCCGUGGCGACCGACACAGAGAAGCUCAUCAGGGAGAAAGACGAGGAGGUGA